rnacentral:rRNA from 1 species
CAGUCGCCGCGGUAAUGCGUAGGGUGCGAGCGUUAAUCGGAAUUACUGGGCGUAAAGCGUGCGCAGGCGGUUUUGUAAGACAGGCGUGAAAUCCCCGGGCUCAACCUGGGAAUGGCACUUGUGACUGCAAAGCUAGAGUGCGGCAGAGGGGGAUGGAAUUCCGCGUGUAGCAGUGAAAUGCGUAGAUAUGCGGAGGAACACCGAUGGCGAAGGCAAUCCCCUGGGCCUGCACUGACGCUCAUGCACGAAAGCGUGGGGAGCAAACAGGAUUAGAGACCCGUGUAGUCCCUGUCUCUUAUAC